UACAGAGGGGGCGAGCGUUGUUCGGAAUUACUGGGCGUAAAGGGCGCGUAGGCGGCCAACUAAGUCAGACGUGAAAUCCCUCGGCUCAACCGGGGAACUGCGUCUGAUACUGGAUGGCUUGAGUUCGGGAGAGGGAUGCGGAAUUCCAGGUGUAGCGGUGAAAUGCGUAGAUAUCUGGAGGAACACCGGUGGCGAAGGCGGCAUCCUGGACCGACACUGACACUGAGGAGCGAAAGCCAGGGGAGCAAACGGG
rnacentral:rRNA from 1 species